CCUAUACACAUAUAAAUAAAUCUUUGAACAAAUUCCAGGGUAUAAUUUUUACUCUCUUUCUAGUUGUGAUUCUUGGGUGGAAGAGAUGUGAGAUGAUGCCUGAGAAAGGAACCUGCCCCUGCUCAGUCUGACCGUGGAAAGAUGUUGGUGGGCUGGGAAGUGACUUAAUGGCUGAGUGCUUGUCCACACGGACACUGGCUAAUGCUGGCUGCCAGCAGAGGGCACUUAUUUUACAGGUCCAGUUAGUCAGAGAACAGACUGUUGACAUAGAUAUAUCUGACAUCUCCCAUUUUCCUGUCAUUUUCUGGAUUGACUGAGGAGGGAUCGAUCAGUCAACUUAAAAACCCUGACCACUUGUCAGCUGAAUGGUGGGAAUGGGUGUGAGAGAUGUUUCUGGACAAGGUUCCCGAGCUCUGAGUGGAGGGACCCGAUGGAGACAUCCAACUUGGUCUCUCUGACUUAUAUUUGGCUGUGGGUCUCUGUAUCUGCUAUCAUCAGCUGCUGGAGGCAGCCUUUCUGAUGACAACUGAACUAGC
rnacentral:lncRNA from 1 species